rnacentral:rRNA from 1 species
AGUGAACGCUGGCGGUAGGCCUAACACAUGCAAGUCGAACGGCAGCACAGUAAGAGCUUGCUCUUACGGGUGGCGAGUGGCGGACGGGUGAGGAAUACAUCGGAAUCUAUUUUUUCGUGGGGGCUUUCGUAGCGAAACCUACGCUCAUACCGUAUACGACCUACGUGUGAAAGCAGGUGAUCUUCGGACCUUGCGCGCUCGCAUGAGCCGCUGUCGGAUUUGCUAGUUGUCGGGGUAAAGGACCACCAAGGCGACGAUCCGUAGCGGGUCUGAGAGGAUGAUGAGCCACAGUGGAAGUGAGACACGGUCAAGACUCCUACGGGAGGCAGAAGUGGGGAAUAGGGGACAAUGGGCGCAAGCCUGAUCGAGCCAUACCGCGUGGGUAAAGAAGGCAUGCGGGUGGAAAAGCCCUUUUGUUGGGAAAGAAAAGCAGCAGGUUAAUAACCCGAUGUUGUGACGGUACCCAAAGAAUAAGCACCGGCUAACUUCGUG